rnacentral:snRNA from 1 species
AUACUUACCUGGCAGGGGAGAUACCAUGAUCACGAAGGUGGUUUUCCCAGGGCGAGGCUUAUCCAUUGCACUCCGGAUGUCCUG